CGGAUUAAAACAAAAAAAGGUAAUAACCCACUCCUUUAGUUGGCAGCUUCGGCUAUCUUUCCCACCGGCAAAAAGGAAACCUCUCUGUCGCUCCCUCCGCGCUCAAGCACAGUUCCCCUCGCAGACCGACUCAACCAGAACGACAAUCAAGGAAGAAAAGAAAAAUUCAAAGACGAUAUUAGAAGAGAAAGAGAAGACAAAACAAAAGAACCCUCCAAGCCGCUUUGUCGGAAAAGCCGACCAUCAAUCCGGGUAAGGUCCAAAAGCCCAGAUUUUUUUUCCUUCAUCCGGCAUGCUUUCGAAACAAAGUCCGACGGAAUCCGACCGUCCGGCAACCACCAUCCAACCCUCAUCACCACGUUUCCUAUCCUUCUCCGCUGCCACACCCACCGCCGGCGCCCAGCGUAGGAUCGCCAUCGCCGUUGAUCUCAGCGAUGAAAGCGCAUUCGCCGUCAAAUGGGCUGUGCAGAACUAUCUUCGUCCCGGUGACGCCGUGAUCCUGCUUCACGUUCGUCCCACCAGCGUCCUUUAUGGCGCUGAUUGGGGCUCCAUUGACUUAUCUGUUGAUACCGAUGAAGAGUCCCAGCAGAAGCUCGAGGAUGACUUCGAUGCCUUCACCACCACCAAAGCUACUGAUCUGUCUCAGCCUUUGGUUGACGCCCAGUUCCCUUUUAAGAUCCAUAUUGUCAAGGACCACGACAUGAAGGAGCGCCUUUGCUUAGAGGUCGAGAGGUUAGGGUUGAGUGCUGUGAUUAUGGGUAGUCGAGGAUUUGGUGCGUCGAAGCGCAACAGCAAGGGACGACUUGGUAGCGUCAGUGAUUACUGCGUUCAUCACUGUGUUUGUCCGGUGGUGGUCGUGAGAUAUCCUGAUGAAAAAGAUGGGGUUGUGGAUGCUGCUCAAGCCGAAGCUGUUGACGCUAAGGUGGCGGCCAAGAAGGAGGUAGAGCUGCACCCAGUGCCGGAGGAAGAGCAGGAGUAUCACGAUGCCUCCGAGGAACAGAAAGUUAUGGGUUCGCUUGUCUCUUUGGGAUUGGCUUCUUCCUCUCCUCCUUGAUUUUAACUUCUGCGCAUGACAAUGAUCUUUAUGAGUGCUUAAGUAGAAGCUUGAGAUGUGCUUGGUUCAUGGCGUGGACUUACUGACUCAGAAAGUGAAGGCACUUGAGUCUACUGGAGGCUGGAGAAAGCUGAGAUUUGAGAUGUGUUUUUUGUGGGUUGGAUUCAUGCCAUGUAUAUUAAAUGGUGGAUAGUAGUGUUGUUGCUGUCUCUCCGUCUUCUCAUAUGUAUGUACUAUGAGAUGAUUGAUGAUGGUAUUUGUAUGGUUGAAGAAUUUUUUCGGUUUCAUGUAGGUUAUGAGAAAAAGGUUCUAAUGCUUUGUGAAAUA